GGUGGUAUGGCGGAAUGGUAGACGCUAUGUAGACUUUCGAGAUAGGUUCGUAAAUGGGAGGAUAUGGAUUUUAAAUCAAAACACCUAUCAUGCAGGUUCGAGUCCUGCUAUCACCA
rnacentral:tRNA from 1 species